GUGAUCAACUUGGUCAUUUAGAGGAAGUAAAGUCGUAACAAGGUUUCCGUAGGUGAACCUGCGGAAGAAUCAUUA
rnacentral:rRNA from 1 species